AGAACCCCGGCGAGGGGAGUGAAAAAGAACCUGAAACCGUGUACGUACAAGCAGUGGGAGCACAGGUUUACCUGUGUGACUGCGUACCUUUUGUAUAAUGGGUCAGCGACUUAUAUUCUGUAGCAAGGUUAACCGUAUAGGGGAGCCGGAGGGAAACCGAGUCUUAACCGGGCGUUAAGUUGCAGGGUAUAGACCCGAAACCCGGUGAUCUAGCCAUGGGCAGGUUGAAGGUUGGGUAACACUAACUGGAGGACCGAACCGACUAAUGUUGAAAAAUUAGCGGAUGACCUGUGGCUGGGGGUGAAAGGCCAAUCAAACCGGGAGAUAGCUGGUUCUCCCCGAAAGCUAUUUAGGUAGCGCCUCGUGAAUUCAUCUCCGGGGGUAGAGCACUGUUUCGGCUAGGGGGCCAUCCCGGCUUACCAACCCGAUGCAAACUGCGAAUACCGGAGAAUGUUAUCACGGGAGACACACGGCGGGUGCUAACGUCCGUCGUGAAGAGGGAAACAACCCAGACCGCCAGCUAAGGUCCCAAAGUCAUGGUUAAGUGGGAAACGAUGUGGGAAGGCCCAGACAGCCAGGAUGUUGGCUUAGAAGCAGCCAUCAUUUAAAGAAAGCGUAAUAGCUCACUGGUCGAGUCGGCCUGCGCGGAAGAUGUAACGGGGCUAAACCAUGCACCGAAGCUGCGGCAGCGACGCUUAUGCGUUGUUGGGUAGGGGAGCGUUCUGUAAGCCUGUGAAGGUGUGUCGUGAGGCAUGCUGGAGGUAUCAGAAGUGCGAAUGCUGACAUAAGUAACGAUAAAGCGGGUGAAAAGCCCGCUCGCCGGAAGACCAAGGGUUCCUGUCCAACGUUAAUCGGGGCAGGGUGAGUCGACCCCUAAGGCGAGGCCGAAAGGCGUAGUCGAUGGGAAACGGGUUAAUAUUCCCGUACUUGGUGUUACUGCGAAGGGGGGACGGAGAAGGCUAUGUUGGCCGGGCGACGGUUGUCCCGGUUUAAGCGUGUAGGUGUGUGUUCCAGGUAAAUCCGGUUCACUUUAACACUGAGGCGUGACGACGAGGCACUACGGUGCUGAAGCAACAAAUGCCCUGCUUCCAGGAAAAGCCUCUAAGCAUCAGGUAACAUCAAAUCGUACCCCAAACCGACACAGGUGGUCAGGUAGAGAAUACCAAGGCGCUUGAGAGAACUCGGGUGAAGGAACUAGGCAAAAUGGUGCCGUAACUUCGGGAGAAGGCACGCUGACAC
rnacentral:rRNA from 1 species